GAUGAACGCUGGCGGCGUGCCUAAUACAUGCAAGUCGAGCGAACAGACGAGGAGCUUGCUCCUCUGACGUUAGCGGCGGACGGGUGAGUAACACGUGGAUAACCUACCUAUAAGACUGGGAUAACUUCGGUAAACCGGAGCUAAUACCGGAUAAUAUAUUGAACCGCAUGGUUCAAUAGUGAAAGACGGUUUUGCUGUCACUUAUAGAUGAUCCGCGCCGCAUUAGCUAGUUGGUAAGGUAACGGCUUACCAAGGCAACGAUGCGUAGCCGACCUGAGAGGGUGAUCGGCCACACUGGAACUGAGACACGGUCCAGACUCCUACGGGAGGCAGCAGUAGGGAAUCUUCCGCAAUGGGCGAAAGCCUGACGGAGCAACGCCGCGUGAGUGAUGAAGGUCUUCGGAUCGUAAAACUCUGUUAUUAGGGAAGAACAAAUGUGUAAGUAACUAUGCACGUCUUGACGGUACCUAAUCAGAAAGCCACGGCUAACUACGUG
rnacentral:rRNA from 1 species